UACAGGGGGUGCAAACGUUGCUCGGAAUCAUUGGGCGUAAAGCGCACGUAGGCGGUUCGUUAUGUCGGAUGUGAAAGCCCUUGGCUUAACCGAGGAAGUGCAUCCGAAACUGGCGAGCUUGAGUACGAAAGAGGAUCGCGGAAUUCCCGGUGUAGAGGUGAAAUUCGUAGAUAUCGGGAGGAACACCGGUGGCGAAGGCGGCGAUCUGGGUCGAUACAGACGCUGAGGUGCGAAAGCGUGGGGAGCAAACAGG
rnacentral:rRNA from 1 species